CUUCACUCAGCUCUGAAAUUGCCCAAUGGGAUCCCACCCUGCUCAAAGCAAUAGGAAUAAAGCAUAUAAGCGUACUGCAGAGUAAUAGAAAAACAUCCGUCUAGAAAGCUGUAAAUAGAGAAAACCACUCUUGCCUGUCCCCACCCUAACACAUUUACAGAAAACAACUACCCUGUGACUGCCUUGAAGGACCACCAGCAAUUAUUAUGAACUAUUAAAGCUGCACUUCACUGCAGGAAAGUGAACUCAUAACACUGGAGUUUAGGACAUGAAAAGGAUGCAAGGAGAGAAGAGAGACGAGAGGGAGAGAAUUCAAAUGGUAGAGACAAGCAGAAGGCUCAAGGGCACACUCUGAUGACGGUGACAGUGGGGAAUAUGAGAUUAUUGCCACCCUCCGGAAUGACAACACAGCAACAGUUCACAGAAUGCUAAGGCAAGGGUAUCCCUUGUUCACCAGUCCCAAUGAGAGCCUUGCCUACAGAAGAUGAGGAGUCCAUAUGACAGGUACUCCACCUAUUGGGCUGCUCAGAGUGAACUCACCUGUUAUAUUGUUCGUCCGUGAUUUUAGGAAGAUGGGUUACUGCUUACCCUUUCUGUUAUGAACCUCGAUAUGUGACAAUCAUGGAGAACAAGAUGGGCAGGGACCAGUACUGCCCCAUACUGUGUAGCCAUAAUAACAAGCAUUUAAACUGCUCAAUUUUCCUAAUCCCUCAAUUUUGUAGUAUUACCAGUCACACCACAGGUCUAAAAUAUCCCUGGGAGUGAGAUAGGGUGACCAAAUGUCCCAAUUUUAUAGGAACAGUCCCAAUAUUUGGGGAUUUGUCUUAUAUAGGCGCCUAUUACGCCCUACCCCCAGUCCCGAUUUUUCACACUUGCUGUCUGGUCCCCCUAGAGGGAGAACACAGGCGAUGGCUGCUUCCCAAUGCAGGUCUCCCGAUUGUGCUCCCACCUGCACGGCCCACUCUCAAUAAGUGUUUCAGCAAUAGCUUAAAUUACGCUUUUAGAGAGUCUAACUGUGUGUUUGGAAAAACUUGUGUAUGGUGAAAUUUGUCCCAUGUCUAUCCAUUAAAGUAUUCACCAUGAUCACAACACAGAAUGCUUGUGCCGUGUCCCUCCUCUGCAUCACAAAUGCUGCUAAUCAACUCCAUUCCGCUAGUUUGCUAUAGAACGGAACUAAAAAGCCCUCACUGUAACUUUAGGGAUGCAAUUGCUUACAAUUAAGCAUAACUGCUACCCUGGCUAUGAAGUGAAUGAAUACUCAGGGUAAUCAUAGGGAUUUUUUUUUCCAUUCGUCUGUCCUGUAAUUAAAUUGAUUGUAAUGAACAAAAUGAGCUGGUGUAUCAUUAGAGCAGCUUCUGUCCCUGUGGAUACAUUCUGCCUCAAAAAUACCAAGAGCAAUAACUUCAUGGAAGGCAGACCUAGCUUCCUGCUCAGGCUAUUUUAUGGGGGCAGAGCGGACGUGGAUGUAGAGUAAGGGAAUGAGGAGACAGGGCCAUCACACUUCAUCUGGAUGAGGGCCACAUUGGCAGCCUGGCCAUGCUAAUUAAGAUAGUGCAUUACAAUCAGGAACUUGUAAUUUCCACAGACCUCACUUCUGCAUCAAAGAUGGUGGCAGCUGCAUCGCAGAACUACACAGACCACUUCUGCACAUAGAUCAAAGUGCAGCCUGUAGGUCAGAAGGACAAUGCC